UUGUAGCCAUGCAUUCGAAUUAAUCCAAUCUAACUUUUUAUUAAAAUGAGUCUAAGUUCAAAAUUAGAAUCCGAAUAGAUAAUCAGGCUGGGUCAGGUUCGCUCAUGACCCGGCAUGAACCAACCCAUUUGCAUUUUUAUUUGUGAGGCUUGAAAAAGGGUUUGCUGGAAAUUGUAAUCAUUAUCUAUAAACCUUUAAAUAAAUAGUAAUAAAUUAUAAAUGUUGUUUUCGGGAAGAUUAUACUAUAAAUUAUAAAUGGUGUUUGGGGAAGGGUUGCUUCCCCGAGUCUCAGAUGGAGCUCACCCUGAGCGGGAACGCCCUCAGGAGCUUCAACCGCUCCAUCACUUGCCUCGCGCGCGUCGGCACCGAGCUCGUCGUCCAGGCCUCCCCCUCCAAAUUGGAGCUGCACACCCUGAAUUCAUCGCGGACCGCGUACCAGACCAUCUCCUUCAAGCCCGACUUCUUCGACGUCUACUCUCUCUCCUCGCCUUCGAUCAUCCAAUGCAGCGUCCUCCUCAAGUCGGUCUGCUCCAUCCUCCGCACCCCCGUGGUCUCCCUCGACCGCCUCUCCGCCCUCCUCCCCUCCCCCGAGUCCCCCAAGCUCCAGUGGUCCCUCCAUUGCCUUAACGGUGUGAGGAAGACGUAUUGGAUCAGCUGCAACGUAGAGCCCGAAAUCCAGCAGCUGUCUCUCGACCGGCGGCGCUUCCCCAGCAGCCUUGUCGUGAGGCCGCGUGACCUCGCCCGGCUGCUCGCCAAUUUCCAGUCGUCGCUGCAGGAGAUCACUGUCAUCGCGACCGAGCCUUUGGCAGUGCCGCCUGUUGAUGGGGGUGAUAUUGGGGGGAAGGCCGUGGAGCUCCGGAGUUACAUUGAUCCGACUAAAGAUAAUAGUGAUUCGGCGUUGCACACGCAGCUCUGGAUUGAUCCUGCAGAGGAGUUCUUGCAGUAUACACAUGUCGGGGAUGCCGUGGAUGUCACAUUUGGUGUGAAGGAGUUGAAGGCAUUUCUAUCAUUUUGUGAAGGAUGCGAAGUUGACAUUCAUCUAUUUUUUGAUAAAGCUGGCGAACCUAUCCUAAUGGCACCAAGAUUUGGAUUCGAUGAUGGGUCAAAUUCAGAUUUUGAUGCGACACUUGUUCUUGCGACCAUGCUUGUAUCACAACUUAAUGAGGUCAAUACAACAGAUUGCCCAUCGGUUCCUCAGGGGCCACAAUCGCAGCAUGCUAAGGCUGCUAAUGCAUCAACAGUUGAGCAUCCUUCUGACCACACUAAAAUCUGGUCAGAUCUUUCAGGAACCGCUGCCAGAAGCUCAGAGGAUACCAGAGAAAGACAGGCUCAGAUGGAAAUGAAUCCAAGUUGUAGCAUGCAGAAUGACAUCCAAAGGCUUAAUGCAAUGAAUAUAUUGUUACCUGCACAACAGAAUGCACCUAUACAGCAGCCUAUGGAAACAGAUCAUGAGGACGAACCUCAAGAUAGAGCAGCAGCGAAUAUUAAUUCUUAUUCACAGCAUCAUCCAAGUAACUGGGUAGGUGCAGGUGAUGAUGACAAUGAGGAGGAUGAGGAUGAAAUGUAUGUUCAAUCUACACCUCACUAUGAUGAUUAAGAGUAGCAAUAGCUGGUCUAUUUUCCUAACGAAGGAUUAUGGCUACCCAGUUAUAUAUCCAAAAUUUGAGGAGUAUACAUUACUGAUAUAUGCAAUGCCCCAACUCAUAGAGUUCACAGAGUUAGUGAGCUCGUUUUCCCACUCCUAAAAUUUCAUUCUGUAACCAUUUGAAAGGAAAACUGUUAAUGAAAUCAAUGGAAUCUGUAAUGAUCUUGAUGAUAUGUGUGCUCCAUUCAACGCGGCAGUGUACAUGGAGAUUUGUGUAAACAUGGAUUCUUCAUGGGUUCAUGCUGCAGAAGAACAUUUGCAUAUGGGACAUCAAGUGGUUCUGAUGUGAGAAAAUGUCUUGUAGGUGAACAAGCAUAAUGUACGUUUUGUUCUGAUAUAUGUUGUAUUGGAAGAGUCUAAAAGAUGUGUUACUGAGUAUCAGUUAAGUUUGUAAGUUGCUCACGUGAAUGAAACUGAAAGAUGCGAACAUGCUGUCAUGAUAAAGAUGAUAUGUGUGCUGCAUUCAUACGUGGCAGUGUACAUGGAGAUUUUUGUAAACAUGGAUUCUUCAUGGGUUCAUGCAGCAGAAGAUAAACAUUUGCAUAUGGGACAUCAAGUGGUUCUGGUGUGAGAAAAUAUGUCUUGUAGGUGAACAAGCAUAAUGUAGGUUUUGUUUUGAUAUAUGUUGUAUUGGAAGAGUCAAAGGAUGUGUUAGUAAGUAUCAGUAAAGUUUGCAAGUUGCUUACGUGAAUGAAACUGAAAGAUGCGAACACGAGCAAUUGCUGCAGGAAUCCUGAUGUACAAAAAGCUGUUGCAUGCGAAGUAUGAUGUUCACUUGAAAGGAGUGGUUAUAAGAAGGGGCACCAUGUUAGGUUGCUUUAGGAGUUCUGAUCUCGCCAAAACUUGCAGAGCAACACCUGUAAUUUUUCAAGAUUUUGUGAAAGAUCUCUACUUUCCAAAUUGAAAGAAGAUAGUUCAAGAUGGUAAAACAAUAAUGGUUAUACCAUUUCUGCUUUCAUGGAGCUUCGUAGCACAUGGUUGUUCUUUGCUUUUGUGUAUAUAUGCCGGAAUGUGAGAUGUGCAUACAAUUAGUUGAUAUUCUGUGCUCUUCUCCUGCAUGGUGAUAUUCACACUGUUCUAAUGAUUGCAUCACAUUUAAUGCUUAGUAAAUUUAUCUGGUGAUCUAGGAGUUACGGGAUAUUAGGGUAGGCAACAUGAUAACUGCAGAGGGAGAAUUAAAUAGUGAGGUUGACACCACUGAUAGGACACUCAAGAGCACUCAAAACAAAGCUAAGUUCUUAGAAGUGGUCUCUUAACUAAUUUCUUGGUUUGCUUGAAAGAUGAAUAAUCACAAAGUUGAUUCCCCGGUGUUUGGAAUCUUUAGUUGUUUUAUUCAUUGUUGUUAAUGCAGAAAUCACUGCUACUAGCUUGGAUGGCUAAUUUACUGUUAUUUUUGGAAAUUGACAUGCUCAUUGGGCCCUAGGUAUCAAACAUAAAAAUGACUUGUUAUGCUUUCCUCACCAUUAUUUCCCACCUAGCCUAAUCGCCUGAAAUAUUGAUUUGUUGAGAAUCAUCUGAUUAUGCUAUUAUUAGUGCUUGGAUAAUAUUCUCUGAUGCUUGUUGAGAACUGCAACAAACUGCAUAACGAUGUGACUAGAUAAAUAUAUCGAUCUGCAUCUCUGUUUCCUUGUAAUAUACUGCUUAAGUAACUGACUCUGGAGUUAAACUGUCUUGACGUUUGAAGCCAAAACUCAGAUUCGUCUUGCAUCUUGCCAUGGGAAUAGCAUCAUUAGGGAGGUAAGUUGCCUGAUCUCACCAUCCAGAUUAAUUUGUUACUAAUCCAUAGGGCUGUCAGCUAAUUGUACUCAGGCUCUUGUCAAGAGGAAGUUUCACAUUGUUCUUCUAACUCAUUUCUUCGAAGCUCAAAUUUUCCCAUAAAUUAACCUCUCAGGCUUAGUUUUUGCUCCCCUCUAGCUAGCCAGUAAGUCCAUUCAAUGCAACAUGCCAAAACAGGUCAAGCUCUCUCCCAAAUCUAUGGUUUUUUAAUCUCUCUUUACAAAAAUGGAUGAAGAGAUGCAACAUUGGAAUUAGAAACCGCCCAAACAAAGCUGUACUCCCAAGAUAAUCAUUAAAUUUAACAAACCAUAGACCCUUCUCUGCAGUCUUUUCCAUGUGACCAUGCAGAUCUGUCCAUACUUUUUUAUCCUUUCUUGCCAGAUCUCUCCAUGCGACCUGUUAUUUUUUGAGAGGGAAUGUUGGAUCCCAAGAAUCUCAUGAGGUGAUGAGCGUGAUUUUUUUUUUCUUUUUUGAUAAAGCAGAUGAAUUAAAUCCAUCUAGUAUAAAUACAUCUUGAUCAAGUUCAACGAUAAAAUAAUCAAGCCAAAUGUUCCUUCAAUUUGUAAUAUAUGAAGCUAUCCAAUCUGCCGAACCAUUCAUCUCUUUAUAAGUAUGUGCAGCACGGGAGAAAGCACACAAUCUACAUAGCCUCCAAAUAUGUUUUAAAAGAAGAUGAUUUCUUGCUAACUGACUAUAUCUUGCAACUUAAUUAAUCACCGUUAAGAAGAAUUUGGCUGGCAUUCCAAGUUACUCUCAAUUCAAUCCUUGGAACAGUGAAGGGAGGGUUAUGAAGAUGAAGGAGGAAAAAUCUUAUAAGGAGGUCUAUGAGAUGUUUACUGUUUUCUUUUUGUCAGCUUCAAUAGUUAGUGCGGGUGGGAAUAUGAGGACAGCUCACAAAGAGUGGGGGAGCGGGAGGGCAGAUUGGUCAAUCAAAAGAAGUGGUGGAAGGUUGGAAGAAUGUCUACGGCCUCAAAGAGGAGAACAGCUGCUGAGAGAGAGAGAGAGAGAGAGAGAGAGAGAGAGGCGUCAAGACAGCUGGCGAUGACGAAGAUUUGGUGCGCGUCCCUCUCUCCGCGUUGCUCCGCUGGCGUGGCCCAAACGGUGACGGCACCCGCAACGGCCUUAUGUUCUCAAUGCCACCCAAUGGGCCCCAAAGGGGCCCAUCUCUUUCAAAGCUACACUCUAAACGACGCGUUAGAAGGUUGUCUAAUUGUGAGCUGCGGUACAUGAAACACAGCUUGGAAUCAAGGGGAUUGAUGGCCUGAUGAUAUCGUUUGUCCGAUCAUGGAGUGAAAUUCGUUUGAUAUUUCUCUUCUCAGUGUAGCCUUUUCUUCCAUGUUUAUAUUGUAACUGGUUAAGCUCCGCCAAGCUGUGCAUUGGAUCCCAAAUGUUGGUAUAUUUGUAUGAAUGUCGUGUUGUGGGA